GACGAACGCUGGCGGCGUGCUUAACACAUGCAAGUCGAACGGAAAGGCCCUGCUUUUGUGGGGUGCUCGAGUGGCGAACGGGUGCGUAACACGUGAGUAACCUGCCCUUGACUUUGGGAUAACUUCAGGAAACUGGGGCUAAUACCGGAUAGGAGCUCCUGCUGCAUGGUGGGGGUUGGAAAGUUUCGGCGGUUGGGGAUGGACUCGCGGCUUAUCAGCUUGUUGGUGGGGUAGUGGCUUACCAAGGCUUUGACGGGUAGCCGGCCUGAGAGGGUGACCGGCCACAUUGGGACUGAGAUACGGCCCAGACUCCUACGGGAGGCAGCAGGGGGGAAUAUUGCACAAUGGGCGGAAGCCUGAUGCAGCAACGCCGCGUGCGGGAUGACGGCCUUCGGGUUGUAAACCGCUUUCGCCUGUGACGAAGCGUGAGUGACGGUAAUGGGUAAAGAAGCACCGGCUAACUACGUG
rnacentral:rRNA from 1 species